UACGAGGGGGGCAAGCGUUGUCCGGAAUUAUUGGGCGUAAAGAGCUCGUAGGUGGCUUGUUGCGUCUGCCGUGAGAGCCCGUGGCUUAACUACGGGUCUGCGGUGGAUACGGGCAGGCUAGAGGCUGGUAGGGGCAAGCGGAAUUCCUGGUGUAGCGGUGAAAUGCGCAGAUAUCAGGAGGAACACCGGUGGCGAAGGCGGCUUGCUGGGCCAGUUCUGACGCUGAGGAGCGAAAGCGUGGGGAGCGAACAGG
rnacentral:rRNA from 1 species